ensembl:lncRNA
UCAAGUGGGCUCUGUGAUGCCCACAUCAUGGGACCUCCUACAUGGAGGACAGAAAAACCCGCGGUAGCUAAAACCCCAAGGAAUACCAAGUUUGCAGCUGAAGGUUGCAGCUGGGCCCGGGUGGCCCACUGUUCCCAAGCCACCAUGUGGCCAGCAGGUGGCAGCAGGCACCCGGGCUGAAGCCCACUGGGCAGCGCAAGUCUCAGCCUCUGUCCCCCUGCUGCCCCGUCCUGGGCACCUUGUCUGGGCCCUAGGCCCCUAGAACCAUGUGUGCUGGGCCCAGCUGGCCUGAGGGAGUUCACAAACUUGUACCAUCCUUGAGGUCUGCACGGUUGUGCCAAGUGGCCCCCAGACAGGUGGCCACCAGCUCGGUGGCCCCCACUGCCUGCACUGCCCACACCCCUACCUUGACGACUGGGCAGCCCCUGGCCACUCUAGGUGCUCACCUCCUUCCCUGGGAGGACAUGGAAGGAGUGGGGGAGGCUUGGACCCCUGGACGACCCUUGGCAGCUGGGAACGGGUGGGCACAAGGACAGUGGUGACGGCUGGGCCUGGUGGGCACUGAGGGUGGCAGGAGGGACGGGAGCCAGAGGAGAAGGCACCGUCCCUUUCCUGCCUCCCCCCAGCCCAGGCUGCACCCGGCUGGCUGGGCCAGCGCCUCCUCCUCCCUCACCACUCAGAUUCCAGUGCAAUUCCCAGCUAACCAGCACGUCGAUAGAACAAGUCAGUCACACAGUGCUGGCCAAUUACAGGAAAUCAUUCCGCUCCACCGCUCAGUGCUCACCCUCGGGAGACGGAGGCUGGCAGGAGAAUCCUGCAGCCCUCGGAGAGGGCCCUGGGAUUGUCUGCUCCGGGACCACCUGCCCACUGUCUCCCUGCUGAAUGGUAAUUAGAGUUCAAUCUCCUGUGUGCUUCUGGACCUUGGCUCCCAUCUGUCAGAGGCCGAGCUGGGCCCAGUGACCCUGAGGCCUCUCCACAACGAAGGAACCAUUUGAGGUGGCUCUCCUGUGCCCUGGCCCUCGUGGGGCUGGAGGAUUCUGGCACCAAGCUCUCAGUGGCCGGUGCUAUGGGAGAGAGCCUGUGUGCCGAAGCUGGGACAUCACCCCUACCCGGUGCCAGGCAGAGCAUGAGGGCUGGACUUGGGCAGAGGGCUUUGAGGAAGCUUGAGGAGGCCACCUGCCCAGGGCUUCUGGACGCCUUCCCCUCCCCAGUGACAC